AGUUCAAUGGAGUCUUCAGGGACUGUUCCUGAGCAAAAUCCUGAAAUUGAUCUGGAAUUUAUUGGGCCGAAGCCGGAACCUGAUUAUUUUCUGUAUUUUCUCCUGAUUCAUCAGUGAAACUUACAUAUUUGCGUGUUUUUAAUCUUAAUCUCCUCAAGUUCUGUGCAUCCUCCUUGUUCUUCUCAUGCGGAUUCUUAAUGUAAAGGAUAUUUUGAAUGAAAGAACAGAUACCGAAAUUCGGUGUCUGAAGAAGGUACUCUCCCUCUCCCCCCCCUCUGAUGCCCCAAGAAAUGCAAGUUGUGAUCUCUUAUGCUGUCUAACCUGCUCUAUGUGAAAGUGAUGCCCUUACCUUGCUCCUUCCUUUAAGAGCUGUGCUUGCACUUCUCUUAACAGUAUAAAAUGGUGAUCUUUAUCUUUCCUUUUUUUUUUUUCAUUGAUGCCAUUGUAUUUCUUUUACAGUUCAUCUUUUCACUCUCUAAAUUGCUCAGGAACCUGAAUCCUGAAGACUUGCUUGUCAAACAAUUGUUGAAAAUAAAGAAAUCUCUGGCAAGGUUGUGGUUCAGAGGAUACCUCAGUGGAAGAAAUGAUUAGAGGCAAGGCAUGGUCAAUGACUGAAGCCAACAGAACAUUAUGACGUUUCAAAAAACUCAGGACAACACAGAUGCAGCAUAUCAAACACCUGCUGGUAAUUUUUUUUGUCAGAAAUCUUAGCUCUUCAUGUAUAUGAUCGCAAGGAAUCGCGCAAAAGGAUCCCAUAUAGCUGAUCCCACUGGUUUUGGAUCCAGGCUUGGUGGUUGUAAAUCUUAGCUUUGCAAAGCUUAAUUUUCGAGAAAAUUGUAAUGUAUAUUGUCUACACUUGUCAAAUUCUGCCUGUGCUCAGUUCAGUGCUUUUACCGUGCACAGAAUAUAAUUGGCUA